rnacentral:rRNA from 1 species
CACGUAGGGUGCGAGCGUUGUCCGGAAUUAUUGGGCGUAAAGAGCUCGUAGGCGGUCUGUCGCGUCUGCUGUGAAAACUCGGGGCUUAACCCCGGGCCUGCAGUGGGUACGGGCAGACUAGAGUGCGGUAGGGGAGACUGGAAUUCCUGGUGUAGCGGUGAAAUGCGCAGAUAUCAGGAGGAACACCGGUGGCGAAGGCGGGGUCUCUGGGCCGUAACUGACGCUGAGGAGCGAAAGCAUGGGGAGCGAACAGG